GCAGCAGUAGCUCAGUGGUAGAGCUCCAGCCUCGUACGUGGGAACGCCUGGAUUCAAUUCCCGACUGCUUCC
rnacentral:tRNA from 1 species